GAUGAACGCUGGUGGCGUGCCUAACACAUGCAAGUCGAACGAAGCACCUUACCUGAUUCUUCGGAUGAAAGUUUGGUGACUGAGUGGCGGACGGGUGAGUAACGCGUGGGUAACCUGCCCUGUACAGGGGGAUAACAGCUGGAAACGGCUGCUAAUACCGCAUAAGCGCACGAGGAGACAUCUCCUUGUGUGAAAAACUCCGGUGGUACAGGAUGGGCCCGCGUCUGAUUAGCUGGUUGGCAGGGUAACGGCCUACCAAGGCAACGAUCAGUAGCCGGUCUGAGAGGAUGAACGGCCACAUUGGAACUGAGACACGGUCCAAACUCCUACGGGAGGCAGCAGUGGGGAAUAUUGCACAAUGGGGGAAACCCUGAUGCAGCAACGCCGCGUGAGUGAAGAAGUAUUUCGGUAUGUAAAGCUCUAUCAGCAGGGAAGAUAAUGACGGUACCUGACUAAGAAGCUCCGGCUAAAUACGUG
rnacentral:rRNA from 1 species